rnacentral:RNase_P_RNA from 1 species
GUAAGAGCGCACCGCGCGACUGGCAACAGUUCGUGGCACGGUAAACUCCACCCGGAGCAAGGCCAAAUAGGGGUUCACAUGGUACGGCCCGUACUGAACCCGGGUAGGCUGCUUGAGCCAGUGAGCGAUUGCUGGCCUAGAGGAAUGACUGUCCACGACAGAACCCGGCUUACCGGUCAACUCCCUCU